rnacentral:pre_miRNA from 1 species
UCAAUUCCGUAGUGCAUUGCAGUGUAGAACGGUUACAAGCACGACUGCAAGCAUUGUGGGAGUGAAG